UCCCUCUGCCUGCGUUGAACCAGCUCUUUCAGCUCCUCUGCCUGCGUUGAACCAGCUCUUUCAGCUCCCUCUGCCUACGUUGAACCAGCUCUUUCAGGUCCUCUGCCUGCGUUGAACCAGCUCUUUCAGGUCCUCUGCCUGCGUUGAACCAGCUCUUUCAGGUCCUCUGCCUGCGUUGAACCAGCUCUUUCAGGUCCUCUGCCUGCGUUGAACCAGCUCUUUCAGGUCCUCUGCCUGCGUUGAACCAGCUCUUUCAGGUCCUCUGCCUGCCUUGAACCAGCUCUUUCAGGUCCUCUGCCUGCGUUGAACCAGCUCUUUCAGGUCCUCUGUCUGCGUUGAACCAGCUCUUUCAGGUCCUCUGCCUGCGUUGAACCAGCUCUUUCAGGUCCUCUGCCUGCGUUGAACCAGCUCUUUCAGGUCCUCUGCCUGCGUUGAACCAGCUCUUUCAGGUCCUCUGCCUGCGUUGAACCAGCUCUUUCAGGUCCUCUGCCUGCGUUGAACCAGCUCUUUCAGGUCCUCUGUCUGCGUUGAACCAGCUCUUUCAGGUCCUCUGCCUCCGUUGAACCAGCUCUUUCAGCUCCUCUGCCUGCGUUGAACCAGC